AACGAACGCUGGCGGCAUGCCUAACACAUGCAAGUCGAACGAGACCUUCGGGUCUAGUGGCGCACGGGUGCGUAACGCGUGGGAAUCUGCCCUUGGGUUCGGAAUAACAGUUAGAAAUGACUGCUAAUACCGGAUAAUGUCUUCGGACCAAAGAUUUAUCGCCCAGGGAUGAGCCCGCGUAGGAUUAGCUAGUUGGUGAGGUAAAGGCUCACCAAGGCGACGAUCCUUAGCUGGCUGAGAGGAUGAUCAGCCACACUGGGACUGAGACACGGCCCAGACUCCUACGGGAGGCAGCAGUGGGGAAUAUUGGACAAUGGGCGAAAGCCUGAUCCAGCAAUGCCGCGUGAGUGAUGAAGGCCUUAGGGUUGUAAAGCUCUUUACCCGGGUAUGAUAAUGACAGUACCGGGAGAAUAAGCCCCGGCUAACUCCGUGCCAGCA
rnacentral:rRNA from 1 species